AGAAUCAACGCUGGCGGCGUGCCUAACACAUGCAAGUCGAACGAGAAAGGGGAGCAAUCCCUGAGUAAAGUGGCGACCGGGUGAGUAACACGUGACUAACCUACCCUCGAGUGUGGAAUAACAUCGGGAAACCGAUGCUAAUACCGCAUAACAUCGGCGCUUUUAAGAGAUGCCGAUCAAAGGAGCAAUCCGCUUGAGGAGGGGGUCGCGGCUGAUUAGCUAGUUGGCGGGUAACGCCCACCAAGGCGAAGAUCGGUA
rnacentral:rRNA from 1 species